GGAACCAAGUAAAUUUUGGCUACAAAAACAGCCAGGAAAUUGUUCAUCAUAUUGUUGGAUAGUUUAACAUUAGCCAUCAAUCAAUAUCAGCAAUUAAAGAUGAAUCUGAAAGAAUUACCAGCACUAAAAAG